CCUGGUGGUUAUAGCAAAAAUGAAACACCCGAUCCCAUCUCGAACUCGGAAGUGAAACUUUUUAGCGCUAAUGGUACUUGAAAAGGGAGAGUAGGUCGCUGCCAGGU
rnacentral:rRNA from 1 species